rnacentral:rRNA from 1 species
AGAGUUUGAUCAUGGCUCAGAACGAACGCUGGCGGCAGGCCUAACACAUGCAAGUCGAGCGCUCGCCUUCGGGCGGGAGCGGCGGACGGGUGAGUAACGCGUGGGAACGUGCCCCUUGGUGCGGAACAACCGCUGGAAACGGCGGCUAAUACCGCAUGAUCCUCUUCGGAGGCAAAGAUUUAUCGCCAAGGGAUCGGCCCGCGUCGGAUUAGGUAGUUGGUGGGGUAACGGCCCACCAAGCCGACGAUCCGUAGCUGGUUUGAGAGGAUGAUCAGCCACACUGGGACUGAGACACGGCCCAGACUCCUACGGGAGGCAGCAGUGGGGAAUCUUGGACAAUGGGGGCAACCCUGAUCCAGCCAUGCCGCGUGAGCGAUGAAGGCCCUAGGGUUGUAAAGCUCUUUCACCCGCGAAGAUAAUGACGGUAGCGGGAGAAGAAGCCCCGGCUAACUCCGUGCCAGCAGCCGCGGUAAUACGGAGGGGGCUAGCGUUGUUCGGAAUUACUGGGCGUAAAGCGCGCGUAGGCGGAGAUCCAAGUCGGGGGUGAAAUCCCGGGGCUCAACCCCGGAACUGCCUCCGAUACUGGGUCUCUCGAGGACGGGAGAGGCGAGUGGAAUGCCGAGUGUAGAGGUGAAAUUCGUAGAUAUUCGGCGGAACACCCGUGGCGAAGGCGGCUCGCUGGUCCGUUUCUGACGCUGAGGC